rnacentral:misc_RNA from 1 species
AGUAUCUAUCAUCUUUGUUUCAUCAAGAGAAGCAAAAACAUAGAAUUGGGAAAUUAACUACUUUUGAACGAAACCACCCAAAAGAAUCUCAGUUGAUGUCAGAGUCAUCAAAAUCGUCCUCAAAGGAAUUGAAGAAAUCGGCGUCAGCAAGCUUGUUCUCGGCGGAGAUCACACCCUCGCCCAAUAUCUCAAGUGGGUCCACAUCGUCCACGUCCAUGGCGACCGUCGAUCCUUGUUCUUCCAGCUCCGCAAAGAAUUCCAUCGGUGUAGGCCUCAUUUCUGUGGCAAUCAAAAAAAUAAUUAAAACCAAUAGGUUUGUUUGAAUUGGUCACUCGGAGGAAUGGGAUUUUCCAAGAUGAAGCAGAUGAAAG